rnacentral:rRNA from 1 species
CGCUACCAUGCAGUCGCACGAGAAAGGGAGCAAUCCCCGGUACAGUGGCGCACGGGUGAGUAACACGUGGACGACCUUCCCUGGAGUGGUGGAUAACCUGUCGAAAGGCGGGCUAAUACAGCAUGGGACCACGACGCUUUGGCGAUGUGGUGAAAGCGGGCUUCUGUUUACAUGCUCGCGCUCCGGGACGGGUCCGCGUCCCAUCAGCUAGUUGGUGAGGUAAUGGCUCACCAAGGCUACGACGGGUAGCUGGUCUGAGAGGAUGGCCAGCCACACUGGAACUGAGACACGGUCCAGACUCCUACGGGAGGCAGCAGUGGGGAAUCUUGCGCAAUGGGCGAAAGCCUGACGCACCGACGCCGCGUGGGCGAAGAAGGCCUUCGGGUUGUAAAGCCCUGUGGGAGAGAGCGAAAGGCCUUUCGGCGAAUACCCGGGAGGUUUGACGGUACUCUUUUAGCAAGCAUCGGCUAACUCUGUGCCAGCAGCCGCGGUAAGACAGAGGAUGCAAACGUUGCUCGGAAUUACUGGGCGUAAAGCGCGUGUAGGCGGUCUGGUAAGUCGGAUGUGAAAUCCCGGGGCUCAACCCCGGAAGCGCACUCGAUACUGCCGGACUAGGGUCCUGAAGAGGAGAGCGGAAUUCCCGGUGUAGAGGUGAAAUUCGUAGAUAUCGGGAGGAACACCAGUGGCGAAGGCGGCUCUCUGGGCAGGUACCGACGCUGAGACGCGAAAGCGUGGGUAGCAAACAGGAUUAGAUACCCUGGUAGUCCACGCUGUAAACGAUGACGACUGGGUGUUGCGGGUAUUGACUCCCGCAGCGCCGAAGCCAACGCGUUAAGUCGUCCGCCUGGGAAGUACGGCCGCAAGGCUAAAACUCAAGGAAUUGACGGGGGCCCGCACAAGCGGUGGAGCAUGUGGUUU